rnacentral:rRNA from 1 species
UACGGGGGGGGCAAGCGUUGUUCGGAAUUACUGGGCGUAAAGGGCGCGUAGGCGGUCUGCUAAGUUGGAUGUGAAAACUCUGGGCUUAACCCAGAGCCUGCAUUCAAAACUGACAGGCUAGAGUUCUGGAGGGGGAAGCGGAAUUCCUGGUGUAGCGGUGAAAUGCGUAGAUACCGGGAGGAACACCAGUGGCGAAGGCGACUACCUGGCCUGUUCUUGACGCUGAGGCGCGAAAGCUAGGGGAGCAAACGGG